rnacentral:rRNA from 1 species
UACGUAGGGGGCAAGCGUUAUCCGGAUUUACUGGGUGUAAAGGGAGCGUAGGCGGCAGGGCAAGCCUGAUGUGAAAGCCCGGGGCUCAACCCCGGGACUGCAUUGGGAACUGCCCCGCUCGAGUGCCGGAGGGGCAGGCGGAAUUCCGUGUGUAGCGGUGAAAUGCGUAGAUAUACGGAGGAACACCAGUGGCGAAGGCGGAUUGCUGGACAGUAACUGACGCUGAGGCGCGAAAGCGUGGGGAGCAAACAGG